AGUGAACGCUGGCGGUAGGCCUAACACAUGCAAGUCGAACGGCAGCACAGUAAGAGCUUGCUCUUACGGGUGGCGAGUGGCGGACGGGUGAGGAAUACAUCGGAAUCUACUUUUUCGUGGGGGAUAACGUAGGGAAACUUACGCUAAUACCGCAUACGACCUACGGGUGAAAGCAGGGGAUCUUCGGACCUUGCGCGAUUGAAUGAGCCGAUGUCGGAUUAGCUAGUUGGCGGGGUAAAGGCCCACCAAGGCGACGAUCCGUAGCUGGUCUGAGAGGGUGAUCAGCCACACUGGAACUGAGACACGGUCCAGACACCUACGGGAGGCAGCAGUGGGGAAUAUUGGACAAUGGGCGCAAGCCUGAUCCAGCCAUACCGCGUGGGUGAAGAAGGCCUUCGGGUUGUAAAGCCCUUUUGUUGGGAAAGAAAAGCAGCAGGUUAAUACCCCGCUGUUCUGACGGUACCCAAAGAAUAAGCACCGGCUAACUUCGUG
rnacentral:rRNA from 1 species